ensembl:lncRNA
CUUGGAGCGCGCGACCGGCCCUGCGCCCCCGCCUUUGUUCGCGCGGACCGCGGGCUGCCGGAGGCUGCCCAGGUGAGACCGGAAGCGCGGCGGGCGGCCAGCGCGGGUCCGUGCGCCGCCAGCCUGUUCCGGCACCGACGCGCUUUGCUCCCAGGCCCGGGCUUGGGGUGGGGGGGUGUCCCGGGUACCCUCCACGCAUCCGCACUGCUCCGGCCCCCCGCGAGAGCCGCCUCCGCCGCGCGGCCCGGGACAAAGCGCUGUGCAUAGGAGGGUGCUCCGAAAGUCGCGGCAGAGGGGAUGGCGCCUGACCUGUUCCAUGAAAGACUAGCCAUCCUCCAGUUCCCUGCUGCGGCGCGCCCCGCAGAUGAGGAAUCGGCUGCUUCUUGGCUCUUCCUAUAGUUCCGGUCCAGGGAGUGUUUGCGUUCAGUCCGAGUUCUCACUUUGGUGGAGCAGUGCCACGAGGUCUUCCUGUCCCACGUCUGCGUUGCCUGCAAAGGAGAGUUAACGGAGCUGGAUGCUGGUGAUCGCCGGUUUCGUCAAAGCAGCUCCCUCCGGGGACUUGGAUCAGGUGAAUGGGCCGCAAGAGAAAGCUCGGAGACCACUGGACAGGAAGAGUGCGGGGUUCCAGUCCUCGUUAAGGAGGGGCAAAGAGUCCCUACUCUGGCCUCUCUGUCUGCAGUGGUCAGGGACCAGUGCCAGACUGGAUGUGGCGGGACAGUUGUCACUGAGCCGGGUCAAACGGAGCAAAUUUAGUUGUGGAUGGAGGGCGAAGUCAUCUUUCCAGCCCGCUAACACAUUCCGUGAGCUCCAGGGGGCAGCCUUGCGGCUCUCUGAGGAAGGAAGCCCUCAGGUGAACGACACUCGCUCCGCCAACGCUCUCGGAGCGCCCGGGCAACCAGACGUUCCUAGGAUUUGAGGUGCCCACGCGAGGAACCGCCUUUCCUGGUUGCCUGACAGGAGUGGGUGCUCCAGUGUUCUUGUGUGGUCAGACAACCCUGAGGGGGCGCUGUGGUGGACAGCCAUCACCCCGUCUGCUGGCAGCCACGCUCUGUGUAUUCCUUCCACUGGGUGCGAGCAGGACCCAUGACCCACUUCGAAGCCAUAGGAUGUGGCAGAGGUGACGGGACAUCCGCUUGGUGAUUAUGUCGCAAAACAUUGUGACUCUCACUUGGUGGAUUCUUCUUGCUGGCUUGAACGAAUGAAGCUGCCUGACUGGAAGCUGCCUCGUGGAGAGACUCAUGUACCAAGGAAUGGAAGGUGGCCCCCGGCCAACAGCCCAUGAAGAGUGAAAACUCGUCACUGAACAUGGAAGCACGUGCUUGGAAACAAACGUUUUCCCGCUUGAGCCUUCAGGUGAGACUAGCCUAGUCAGCAUCUUAAUUGUAGCUGUUGAGAGAUCCCAAAACGGGAGACCCAGCUAACCCACACCUGGAUUCUGAAGCCGCAGAAACUGAGAAAAUAAGUGUGUUGUUGAUUUCCCGUCUGGCACGUAAGGAGCUUACACUCACCACUUCAGCCUAACAACCAAAACCUGAACGAGCCAAAAAAUCCUCUCUUCAUAGAUCUGUUAGCGAAGCGAGGUCACAGAACAAACUGUGGUGUCCCCCCCACCCCCAGCCAACUGAAAGGACAGGCAGAUGCGACAGCCACAGCUCCCUGGAGCUGACACCCAUUGGCUGAAGCUUCUACAGGAAUCGCUGCGGAGGUAGGAAAGUGUGUGAACUGUAACUGACCAGUUGCUGGAGGCUCAGUGUAGAUGCUCCCCACGCUUUUGUGAGUUUCACCUCCUAGGGCUCUACCAGGUUCUCCCAGUGAAGGCUGGAGAAAAGAUUGCUUGGGUGUCCUGCAGAGAGAGGGGAGAAGGGGCCAUUUUUAAGUCUGCCGGAGCAUUCUGUUGUUCUGAGCAAGACCUACCCUCAGGAGAAACUUGACCCUGACCAUUGGGGGUUACUGGAACCUAACUACCCUGGGGGAAGGAAAUCCCCAACCCCAGUCUCCUGAGGCCCUCAUCGGGGACACAACAAAGAGUCGUUUACGAAGUUCACAGCCAAGGGGUACAGACUUACUACAAGACUGAGACCUAAUCAUAAACUGCCUCUCCUCCCCGUCACCUCCUGACGACCCCACUAACAGCCUGUUUAUCCCGAUUCUUUUUACCCAGCACAUUAUGAUAAUAUGUCCAGCCUUUUUUUUUUUUUUUUAAGGGAGUAAGGAGCAGAUUGGGGAGAGAGAGUCUUAACGCGGGCUCCACAGCCAGCGAGGAGCCUGGGGUGGGGCUCAGUCUCACAACCCAAACGAGUAUUGACCUGAGCCAAAACCAAGAGUCAGCCCUGUUGAGCUGUCCAGGCGCCCCCAUGUCCAGCUUUAAACAAAGAGCUGCCAGGCAUGCUAAAAGACAAUAAACACAGUUUGAAAAGACA